rnacentral:rRNA from 1 species
AUUGAACGCUGGCGGCAGGCCUAACACAUGCAAGUCGAACGGUAACAGGAAGCAGCUUGCUGCUUUGCUGACGAGUGGCGGACGGGUGAGUAAUGUCUGGGAAACUGCCCGAUGGAGGGGGAUAACUACUGGAAACGGUAGCUAAUACCGCAUAACGUCGCAAGACCGAAGAGGGGGACCUUAGGGCCUCUUGCCAUCGGAUGUGCCCAGAUGGGAUUAGCUAGUAGGUGGGGUAACGGCUCACCUAGGCGACGAUCCCUAGCUGGUCUGAGAGGAUGACCAGCCACACUGGAACUGAGACACGGUCCAGACUCCUACGGGAGGCAGCAGUGGGGAAUAUUGCACAAUGGGCGCAAGCCUGAUGCAGCCAUGCCGCGUGCAUGAAGAAGGCCUUCGGGUUGUAAAGUACUUUCAGCGGGGAGGAAGGGAGUAAAGUUAAUACCUUUGCUCAUUGACGUUACCCGCAGAAGAAGCACCGGCUAACUCCGU